rnacentral:rRNA from 1 species
UUAAGCGACUAAGCGUACACGGUGGAUGCCCUGGCAGUCAGAGGCGAUGAAGGACGUGCUAAUCUGCGAUAAGCGUCGGUAAGGUGAUAUGAACCGUUAUAACCGGCGAUUUCCGAAUGGGGAAACCCAGUGUGAUUCGUCACACUAUCAUUAACUGAAUCCAUAGGUUAAUGAGGCGAACCGGGGGAACUGAAACAUCUAAGUACCCCGAGGAAAAGAAAUCAACCGAGAUUCCCCCAGUAGCGGCGAGCGAACGGGGAGCAGCCCAGAGUCUGAAUCAGCUUGUGUGUUAGUGGAACGGUCUGGAAAGUCCGACGGUACAGGGUGAUAGUCCCGUACACCAAAAUGCACAGGUUGUGAACUCGAAGAGUAGGGCGGGACACGUGGUAUCCUGUCUGAAUAUGGGGGGACCAUCCUCCAAGGCUAAAUACUCCUGACUGACCGAUAGUGAACCAGUACCGUGAGGGAAAGGCGAAAAGAACCCCGGCGAGGGGAGUGAAAAAGAACCUGAAACCGUGUACGUACAAGCAGUGGGAGCCUCUUUAUGGGGUGACUGCGUACCUUUUGUAUAAUGGGUCAGCGACUUAUAUUCUGUAGCAAGGUUAACCGAAUAGGGGAGCCGAAGGGAAACCGAGUCUUAACUGGGCGUUAAGUUGCAGGGUAUAGACCCGAAACCCGGUGAUCUAGCCAUGGGCAGGUUGAAGGUUGGGUAACACUAACUGGAGGACCGAACCGACUAAUGUUGAAAAAUUAGCGGAUGACUUGUGGCUGGGGGUGAAAGGCCAAUCAAACCGGGAGAUAGCUGGUUCUCCCCGAAAGCUAUUUAGGUAGCGCCUCGUGAACUCAUCUUCGGGGGUAGAGCACUGUUUCGGCUAGGGGGUCAUCCCGACUUACCAACCCGAUGCAAACUACGAAUACCGAAGAGUGAUACUCAGGAGACACACGGCGGGUGCUAACGUCCGUCGUGGAGAGGGAAACAACCCAGACCGCCAGCUAAGGUCCCAAAGUCAUGGUUAAGUGGGAAACGAUGUGGGAAGGCCCAGACAGCCAGGAUGUUGGCUUAGAAGCAGCCAUCAUUUAAAGAAAGCGUAAUAGCUCACUGGUCGAGUCGGCCUGCGCGGAAGAUGUAACGGGGCUAAACCAUGCACCGAAGCUGCGGCAGCGACGCUUAUGCGUUGUUGGGUAGGGGAGCGUUCUGUAAGCCUGCGAAGGUGUGCUGUGAGGCAUGCUGGAGGUAUCAGAAGUGCGAAUGCUGACAUAAGUAACGAUAAAGCGGGUGAAAAGCCCGCUCGCCGGAAGACCAAGGGUUCCUGUCCAACGUUAAUCGGGGCAGGGUGAGUCGACCCCUAAGGCGAGGCCGAAAGGCGUAGUCGAUGGGAAACAGGUUAAUAUUCCUGUACUUGGUGUUACUGCGAAGGGGGGACGGAGAAGGCUAUGUUGGCCGGGCGACGGUUGUCCCGGUUUAAGCGUGUAGGCUGGUUUUCCAGGCAAAUCCGGAAAAUCAAGGCUGAGGCGUGAUGACGAGGCACUACGGUGCUGAAGCAACAAAUGCCCUGCUUCCAGGAAAAGCCUCUAAGCAUCAGGUAACAUCAAAUCGUACCCCAAACCGACACAGGUGGUCAGGUAGAGAAUACCAAGGCGCUUGAGAGAACUCGGGUGAAGGAACUAGGCAAAAUGGUGCCGUAACUUCGGGAGAAGGCACGCUGAUAUGUAGGUGAAGCCCCUGCGGGUGGAGCUGAAAUCAGUCGAAGAUACCAGCUGGCUGCAACUGUUUAUUAAAAACACAGCACUGUGCAAACACGAAAGUGGACGUAUACGGUGUGACGCCUGCCCGGUGCCGGAAGGUUAAUUGAUGGGGUUAGCGGUAACGCGAAGCUCUUGAUCGAAGCCCCGGUAAACGGCGGCCGUAACUAUAACGGUCCUAAGGUAGCGAAAUUCCUUGUCGGGUAAGUUCCGACCUGC